rnacentral:rRNA from 1 species
CACGUAGGGCGCAAGCGUUUGUCCGGAAUUAUUGGGCGUAAAGAGCUCGUAGGCGGUCUGUUGCGUCCGCUGUGAAAACUCGGGGCUUAACCCCGAGCCUGCAGUGGAUACGGGCAGACUAGAGGUAGGUAGGGGAGAAUGGAAUUCCCGGUGUAGCGGUGAAAUGCGCAGAUAUCGGGAGGAACACCGGUGGCGAAGGCGGUUCUCUGGGCCUUACCUGACGCUGAGGAGCGAAAAGCGUGGGGGAGCGAACAGG